ACCUCGUUGGCGCAGUUAGGCAGCGCGUCAGUCUCAUAAUCUGAAGGUUGUGAGUUCGAACCUCACACGGAGCA